rnacentral:rRNA from 1 species
AGUAACACGUGGAUAACCUACCUAUAAGACUGGGAUAACUUCGGGAAACCGGAGCUAAUACUGGAUAAUAUUUUGAACCGCAUGGUUCAAAAGUGAAAGACGGUCUUGCUGUCACUUAUAGAUGGAUCCGCGCUGCAUUAGCUAGUUGGUAAGGUAACGGCUUACCAAGGCAACGAUGCAUAGCCGACCUGAGAGGGUGAUCGGCCACACUGGAACUGAGACACGGUCCAG